AGUGAAACACGAGCCUGAAACAUAAAUAUCAGGGUGUUUACAUUAAGGCACAAAGUCAUUGCGCAUAUAUUUUUUUAUGGCAACGUUUAAUAUGGUAUUACAAGGAAUAACAACACUGUGACUGACCACAACACCGCUGCCAUUGUUGGAUGUCUGUUAACUAUCGGAGUUUUGGCGCGCCUGGAUGUGAUCGGGAGUCACCGUCUAUGGCAUGAAAAAGGAUGGAGAGCUGCACACAUGUUUUCCAGAUCUCUGGGAUCAAAGCGCAGGAUAAAAAGAGAGUUUUGAUUAAGGGCAUUUAUCAGCUCGGUGGAAAAUACAUUGGUGGCUCAGUAUACAAGCACUGUACCACUCACCUCAUAACCCCCCAGGUUUUGCCCAGUGAGAAGUUUUUGGCAGCUUGUGCGGCAGGGAAGUGGGUCGUGACUCCUAACUAUGUGUUGGAAAGCAUGAAGAAUGGCUCGUGGUUGCCCGAGGGACCCUAUGAAGUGGCCAUUUUCACCAGCCCCUCAGCUGCCUUUUACCCCGUCAGACAGUGGAGGGAAAAGGUAGCCAAAGGUAGAAUAACUGGUGCUUUUCAGGGCUGGAAAGUUCUUCUCAUGGUCCAAGAGCCCAACAGAAGAGCCAUGUUCAAACGGCUGCUGAAAGCUGGAAGAGCAGAAGUGUACAACUCUCCGCCACCUAUGUACACUCCCAUCACUCAUGUCAUGGCGAAACCUGUGACGGAGAAAACAAAAUCUCUUAACUCACCUUGUUACCCUGUGAGCCACAUAGUGCAACACCUCUUCGGGAGCAAUCGCCUGGAUAUGGAUUUUAACAAAAUGGAUGAUCUUCCGUCUGAGACAAAAGCCAGUUGUCUUGAAGGCUUCUCUAAUUUGGAGGCAGAACUCAGGAAUUUUGCUGUCAAAAAAGAGGGCCGGCCCAGACUGUGCUUCCUUGAGUUUCUAGGUUACAGUGACCCUCAUCGUCCCUUCACACAGGCAAUUGUAGCAGAUUUAAGCAACGUCAGUAGUAUGAUAGAGUGCGGCCUACUCAGCGAGGCCUUGGAUUCAAUCAGAAAUGCCGUGUUUCCAGGCGUGUUGCCACCAGCGACAUACCUGAUCUCCCUCAUAGAGUACGCACAGCAGGGUAACGCCACGUCCCUCUUUCUGAGAGAUUUCCAUCAGGUUAUGGUAAACCUGCUCAUUACAAAUCCUCCAUGGCUGGCUCAAAAUUCAGUGAAAAAAUACUAUGCCCAAGUGCUGCAGUGUCCUCAGUGCAAGAUGGGCUUAUGGCCUCUUUUAGAGACUGCAAUCAGAUACUGCCUGACAAACAGCGACACCUGUCACCCACACCCUGGACCCGCCUUGCCAGCUUUGGUACAUUUCUACUGUGACAUGCUUGCACUUUGCCUCAUGCUUCUCAAGGGUGAACUUCACUCUGUCAAUAGCAGAGACUUUAUGUUUUCUAACCAACCCAGAGCGUCAUCUGCACCAGCUUCUGGUUCAUUGCUCUAUGGGACUUUCUGGACCGUGUGGGAACGAACAACACUGCUGUCCUGCACUGUGAAAAAGCUUCUUCAGCUCCUAAAAGAAGCUGCCAUUAUGGAAUUUGCUGAGGGAGCAGAGAAGCGGGAGCUGUAUUUGGCAGACACUCUGCUGGAUCUUCUGUCUGUGUUGGUGGAGUUUUGGUGUCAGCAGCAUUUUAAACUUAAUCAGAGUCUGGUGGAAAAAGGCCUCAAAGACCUCUCGGAGCACCUUGCCAUUCUUAGCCAGGAUCUGUGUCCAGCCGUUUUGGUAGAGCUGGUUUGCAGAGUUCACUCCACCAGACUAAAGUUGGUCGUAGUUGAUGCCAUCUUCAGGAAUCUCUGCUGCAGAAAUGGCUUCAUUGUUGGCGAUGAACCUCUCUCUCUCAAGAAAAUGGUGUGUUCUUACUUGCCCGCUCUGGGAACGUUAGCUCAAAGUCCCAGCUUUGCUUCCUACAAGACUGAGAAAACCUCCCACAGCUGCACGAGUCAGGGGACCAGCAGGACCGAGAACAGGCCGGUGACUGAAGAAAGCCCCGAGCGAGAAAAUGCCCCCAGAGGCAUGAACAGAGUGAACGCAGCAGGCGAGACCCUCCUACACAGAGCUUGCAAGACAAACCAAGUGGAAACGGUGCUUCAGAUCCUGGCGUUUCCUGGCACAGACGUCAAUGUUAAAGACCAUGCAGGCUGGACUCCUCUCCAUGAAGCAUGCAACCAUGGCAGCACUGAGUGUGUGAGAGCAUUGCUGCAUCACCACCCCGCCCCUGUCCUCACUGACCAGGUCGCCGGAGUUAGUCCACUGCACGAUGCCCUGCUGAACGGACACUUGGACAUCGCUAAAAUGUUACUGGAACAUGCAGGCAGUGAGGUGGGGGUAGCGUUGGGGGUGUUUACCAUGCAGUGGAACUGCCUGCAUCCCAGCUUGUCUGCCUUACCCCCAGACUCAGACCAGAAAGACUGGGGGAGGGAGGGAAGGAGUACUGCAUCUUUCUUUCUUUCAUUCCCUCCCUCUCUACCUCCUUCUUCAAAUUUCCCCCUUCCUCCACUCUCACUUUUAUAUUUCUUGUCUUCGCCUGCCCUCUAAAGGCCAAAGGGCUUCGUGCUCUGUAUGUAAAUGUGUGUGUGUGGCCGCCAGGCUGCAUCUGGCGGCUGCAUCAGCCAGUGGCUUUUUCUCAGCAUGUGAAUUCUUCCUCUCACUGCUGUAGCUUCACAACUUAGGGUAUUUUUCAUCACAUUCAUGCACACACACUUAAAGGACGGUGUAAUUACCCUAUGCUCUCAUGUACUCCCUCAGGUGUUAUAUUUAUCACCGCUGGAGCAUUUCUGACACCCAGCACCAAUACCUGGAUUCACUACAGUCACCAUUCUUGCACCAAAUACACUUCCUCAGGCAUAUAGCACUAUGUAUACAUUUAUAACUAAGUCAAAUGAUCUAAUCUAUAGUUAUGCUUAAGUACGAUGUUUGCUCCAUUAGCAUAUAGUUGGAGUUACAUUCCCUGAAGCUUAUGAGUCUGUGAUUUCUGUUUUCUGUAAUAAGCCACAACAAGAAAGCAAGUUGAUAUUUAAAAGAAUAAAAAGAGAAAAUAAAGAACCAGCAUGAAGGCAAAUAACACAAAUUGUGGUUGGAGCUAUCCAGUUAGCUUUCAGGCAGACAGAUUCUACAAAGAGCCUUACAAACCGAGCCCAGGGCCGUGCUGCAGGGACGCCUUCCCACCCCUCCUUCGCGCUCCAGUGUCAGACCUCUGAUUGGAGCCUGUCUGUCAACUGGGUUUGACAUGACGACGGCGGGGGGAACUCUGGGAAACCGGGUUGCAUUUCUUUAUCUCCUGGAUCUGCUGCAAAGAAAACAGAGCUGUUCUGGAGACAUGGCAGACAGUAAAACUAAUAACACCGGAGCAGCGUAUCGUUAUUUCUGAUUUUCUGUCACCUGUGAUUUUCACCGGGACACACCAAGAGGUAACUUUUGGUGCAAGACGUAUUGAUUAAAAUAAAAAGUGUAAAAAGUUAAACGGUAAUGUUGCUCCCUGUGAGAUCUCUUUUCAAAAGCAGGUUUAGAGCAGAGUUUGUCCACCAAGUACUGUGAUUAAUCCAGUUUUUUUUUGGAGUUUUGUUUGGAGGAAAUCUACAUUUUAGUGGAUCCUCCCAUAGUGCGUAAUGUUUUAGUUAACGUCACACAGCCACUCCUCCUGAUUGAGAGCAGUAUCGACACCGACUCCUGCUGAUGCUGAAGACAGCUUGUUACAGAAACCUGGUGAUUAUGUCCCGCUGUGAACAACCUCACUCUCCCUCUCACACUCUCACAUCACUCCCUAACCUCUGCCUUUCUCUUGUGGCCACUUUGAUCAAAUUUGCACUCUCACGUCCUUGACUGCUGCCCCCAACCACUGACCCUUGUAUUUAAAAUAUCCACGCUUAUGUAAAUGUUUAUGUAGAUUAAUGCCACAAUUUAUGCUGAUUGGUUUUUUGCCCAUUCAGAUUUGAAAGACUAAAAGGUAGACAAGCACUUACCUUCUGUUGGGAGCUCUCACAAAUAAUCUUAAGAGCCGAAAUGUACCAAUCAGAAAUUUGGUGCCCAUUUCCGAUCUCAUUUCUGAUUUUUGUGAAGCACCGACCUUCUGAUACCAGGUCUUCUUUAAGAACUAUUAAGAGAAUUAAACCUCUUAGCUUGAGCAGCCAUCAAUUAUUUUUAUUACUGGCAGAGGCGACAUCCAUCCAAGAAUUUGUUAUUUAAAGCAGAUUUCAACUAAUUUAAAACAAGGACCAAAUGAUUGCCAGUUUAACAUCGUAUGCUGUGUUGACCAUUACUAAACCCUAUAAAUCACAAUAACCCUGUGGUUCUCAAUGUGUGGGAGGAAUGUUGAAGGCAACCUUACUGGUAUAAAAUUUUUUAUGAUUACUUUUAAAUAUAUGUAAUUUUACAGAUUCACAUUUCCUGCAUGACGGUAACCUAUUAGUAACCUCUCAGAGGUCAUGGCAGUAACAGAGGUUGGCGGUAACUGCUGGAGGUCCACUCAUGACGGGUUCUGACAAGUAAAGUGUUUCCCGGCAACAGCUAUGCAGAGUACCGCGGGAGGAGUUUAUGCCUUCAAUCAAUUUGGAGUCAAAAGUGCCGUCUCACAUGAAAAGGCACAGGCUCGGUUCUUCUCCAGCAGACCGACAGAGACGGACAGACUCCACUGGAUCUGGUCUCUGUACCGAGUCAGAGGGAGGAGCUCCUCCGCAGCGCUCAGGUCAGAGAUUCAGUCCGCACGAACAAAGACAAA